rnacentral:rRNA from 1 species
AGUCGAGCGGCCGUAGCAAUACGGCAGCGGCAGACGGGAGAGUAACACGUGGGAACGCGCCCUUCGGUUCGGAAUAACUCAGGGAAACUUGGGCUAAUACCGGAUACGCCCUUACGGGGAAAGAUUUAUUGCCGAAGGAACGGCCCGCGUCCGAUUAGCUUGUUGGUGAGGUAACGGCUCACCAAGGCGACGAUCGGUAGCUGGUCUGAGAGGAUGACCAGCCUCACUGGGACUGAGACACGGCCCAGACUCCUACGGGAGGCAGCAGUGGGGAAUAUUGGACAAUGGGCGCAAGCCUGAUCCAGCCAUGCCGCGUGAGUGAUGAAGGCCCUAGGGUUGUAAAGCUCUUUCAGCGGGGAAGAUAAUGACGGUACCCGCAGAAGAAGCCCCGGCUAACUUCGUGCCAGCAGCCGCGGUAAUACGAAGGGGGCUAGCGUUGCUCGGAAUUACUGGGCGUAAAGCGCACGUAGGCGGAUUGUUAAGUCGGGGGUGAAAUCCUGGAGCUCAACUCCAGAACUGCCUUCGAUACUGGCGAUCUCGAGUUCGGGAGAGGUGAGUGGAACUGCGAGUGUAGAGGUGAAAUUCGUAGAUAUUCGCAAGAACACCAGUGGCGAAGGCGGCUCACUGGCC